rnacentral:rRNA from 1 species
GACGAACGCUGGCGGCGUGCCUAAUACAUGCAAGUCGAACGCAGUGGGGACGGGUGAGUAACACGUGGGUAACCUCCCAUCAGAGGGGAUAACACUUGGAAACAGGUGCUAAACCGAUACUGAUGGAUGGACCCGCGGUGCAUUAGCUAGUUGGUGAGGUACCGGCUCACCAAGGUCACGAUGCAUAGCCGGCCUGAGGGUGUGCUCGGCCACGCUGGGACUGAUACAGUGCCCAGACGCCUACGGGAGGCAGCAGUAGGGAAUCUUGGGCAAGGGACGAAAGUCGGACCGAGCAAGGCCGCGUGAGUGAAGAAGGUUUUCGGAUCGUAAAACUCUGUUGGUAGAGAAGCGGUAUCUAACCAGAAAGCCACGGCUAACUACGUGCCAGCCGCCGCGGUAAUUC